rnacentral:rRNA from 1 species
UGCAAGUCGAACGAUGAUCCGGUGCUUGCACCGGGGAUUAGUGGCGAACGGGUGAGUAACACGUGAGUAACCUGCCCUUAACUCUGGGAUAAGCCUGGGAAACUGGGUCUAAUACCGGAUAUGACUCCUCAUCGCAUGGUGGGGGGUGGAAAGCUUUAUUGUGGUUUUGGAUGGACUCGCGGCCUAUCAGCUUGUUGGUGAGGUAAUGGCUCACCAAGGCGACGACGGGUAGCCGGCCUGAGAGGGUGACCGGCCACACUGGGACUGAGACACGGCCCAGACUCCUACGGGAGGCAGCAGUGGGGAAUAUUGCACAAUGGGCGAAAGCCUGAUGCAGCGACGCCGCGUGAGGGAUGACGGCCUUCGGGUUGUAAACCUCUUUCAGUAGGGAAGAAGCGAAAGUGACGGUACCUGCAGAAGAAGCGCCGGCUAACUACGUGCCAGCAGCCGCGGUAAUACGUAGGGCGCAAGCGUUAUCCGGAAUUAUUGGGCGUAAAGAGCUCGUAGGCGGUUUGUCGCGUCUGCCGUGAAAGUCCGGGGCUCAACUCCGGAUCUGCGGUGGGUACGGGCAGACUAGAGUGAUGUAGGGGAGACUGGAAUUCCUGGUGUAGCGGUGAAAUGCGCAGAUAUCAGGAGGAACACCGAUGGCGAAGGCAGGUCUCUGGGCAUUAACUGACGCUGAGGAGCGAAAGCAUGGGGAGCGAACAGGAUUAGAUACCCUGGUAGUCCAUGCCGUAAACGUUGGGCACUAGGUGUGGGGGACAUUCCACGUUUUCCGCGCCGUAGCUAACGCAUUAAGUGCCCCGCCUGGGGAGUACGGCCGCAAGGCUAAAACUCAAAGGAAUUGACGGGGGCCC